AGUCGAGGGGCAGCAUGAUUGAAGCUUGCUUCAAUUGAUGGCGACCGGCGCACGGGUGAGUAACGCGUAUCCAACCUUCCGCUUACUCGGGGAUAGCCUUUCGAAAGAAAGAUUAAUACCCGAUGGUAUGAUGAGAUUGCAUGAUAGCAUCAUUAAAGAUUUAUUGGUAAGCGAUGGGGAUGCGUUCCAUUAGGUAGUAGGCGGGGUAACGGCCCACCUAGCCGACGAUGGAUAGGGGUUCUGAGAGGAAGGUCCCCCACAUUGGAACUGAGACACGGUCCAAACUCCUACGGGAGGCAGCAGUGAGGAAUAUUGGUCAAUGGACGAGAGUCUGAACCAGCCAAGUAGCGUGAAGGAUGAAGGUCCUACGGAUUGUAAACUUCUUUUAUAAGGGAAUAAAACCUCCCACGUGUGGGAGCUUGUAUGUACCUUAUGAAUAAGCAUCGGCUAACUCCGUGCCAGCAGCCGCGGUAAUACGGAGGAUGCGAGCGUUAUCCGGAUUUAUUGGGUUUAAAGGGAGCGCAGACGGGUCGUUAAGUCAGCUGUGAAAGUUUGGGGCUCAACCUUAAAAUUGCAGUUGAUACUGGCGUCCUUGAGUGCGGUUGAGGUGUGCGGAAUUCGUGGUGUAGCGGUGAAAUGCUUAGAUAUCACGAAGAACUCCGAUUGCGAAGGCAGCACACUAAGCCGUAACUGACGUUCAUGCUCGAAAGUGUGGGUAUCAAACAGGAUUAGAUACCCUGGUAGUCCACACGGUAAACGAUGGAUACUCGCUGUUGGCGAUAUACGGUCAGCGGCUUAGCGAAAGCGUUAAGUAUCCCACCUGGGGA
rnacentral:rRNA from 1 species